rnacentral:lncRNA from 1 species
AACUAUUGGAGUGACGAUUAUUUGUGUUGCCAUUGUUGAGUUCCAUUACAGUAUCCCUAAACAGUCUUAUAAUAUUACAUCAACAAAGCAGGAACAAUGUAUUCAAAACUGCAAAAGCUUUUAUCGUGACCCAGCAAAUUUGUCAUUUUGCAUUGAAAGAUGUAGAGCCUGGUUCCCACGCGAAUAAGUAUCUAAGGCUAUCUUUGGCGUGGACGUGUCUUGUAAUAUUGCAUCUUUGGGAAAUUCUAAUACGUCGCUGGCCUCACUUGUUUAUGUUGUUGUUAGUGUUGUUCUUUAGCCUAUUGUUACUUAUAUGACUUUGUAUCCGUGUCUUCUCACUUCCUAUUUGUGAAUCUUUUUAAGUUUAUAUUAUUUUAUAUGAACCUUAUUUGGGAUAAUUAAUUCUCUAUUAUUUUAUGAAAGCCGAAAAAAUCACCGGGUUUUAAGCAAGCACAAUCACAAUGAAAAUAACAAUAUAUAUAGAUAAUUUUUUUCGUUCAGAUCGAUUGUCUCUUAGGGUACCUGAACAUAAAU